UACGGAGGGGGCUGGCGUUGUUCGGAAUUACUGGGCGUAAAGCGCACGUAGGCGGCUUUGUAAGUUAGAGGUGAAAGCCCGGGGCUCAACUCCGGAAUUGCCUUUGAGACUGCAUCGCUAGAAUUGUGGAGAGGUAAGUGGAAUUCCGAGUGUAGAGGUGAAAUUCGUAGAUAUUCGGAAGAACACCAGUGGCGAAGGCGACUUACUGGACACAUAUUGACGCUGAGGUGCGAAGGCUAGGGGAGCAAACAGG
rnacentral:rRNA from 1 species